ensembl:lncRNA novel transcript
CAAGGACAGAAGUCCCUGGAUCCCUUCUUGGCUGAAGCGGGUAUAUCCAGACAGCUCCUGAAGCACAACUUUGAUGAAGAUGAAAUGGAUGAUCCUGGAGAUUCAGAUGGGGUCAACCUCAUUUCUAUGGUUGGGGAGAUCCAAGACCAGGGUGAGGCUGAAGUCAAAGGCACUGUGUCCCCAAAAAAAGCAGUUGCCACCCUGAAGAUCUACAACAGGUCCCUGAAGGAAGAAUUUAACCACUUUGAAGACUGGCUGAAUGUGUUUCCUCUGUACCGAGGGCAAGGGGGCCAGGAUGGAGGUGGAGAAGAGGAAGGAUCUGGACACCUUGUGGGCAAGUUCAAGGGCUCCUUCCUCAUUUACCCUGAAUCAGAGGCAGUGUUGUUCUCUGAGCCCCAGAUCUCCCGGGGGAUCCCACAGAACCGGCCCAUCAAGCUCCUGGUCAGAGUGUAU